AACAGGUCAAGGCUAGGCUGGGGCCGGGUUCGCGGUGCUCGCUGAGGCGGCGGUGGCUACGGCUGGAGGAGCCGGGCCGGGGCCGCGGCGGAGGCCGCGGCUGGUACUGGGAGGGUGGCAGGGAGGGACGGGGAAGGAAGAUGGCGACGUCGGGGGCGAACGGGCCUGGCUCGGCCACGGCCUCGGCUUCCAAUCCGCGCAAAUUUAGUGAGAAGAUCGCGCUGCAGAAGCAGCGUCAGGCCGAGGAGACGGCGGCCUUCGAGGAGGUGAUGAUGGACAUCGGCUCCACCCGGUUACAGGCCCAAAAACUGCGACUGGCAUACACAAGGAGCUCUCAUUAUGGUGGGUCUCUGCCCAAUGUUAACCAGAUUGGCUCUGGCCUGGCCGAGUUCCAGAGCCCCCUCCACUCACCUUUGGAUUCAUCUCGGAGCACUCGGCACCAUGGGCUGGUGGAACGGGUGCAGCGAGAUCCUCGAAGAAUGGUGUCCCCACUUCGCCGAUACCCCCGCCACAUUGACAGCUCUCCCUAUAGUCCUGCCUACUUAUCUCCUCCCCCAGAGUCUAGCUGGCGAAGGACGAUGCCCUGGGGCAAUUUCCCUGCAGAGAAGGGGCAGUUGUUUCGACUACCAUCUGCACUUAACAGGACAAGCUCUGACUCUGCCCUUCAUACAAGUGUGAUGAACCCCAGUCCCCAGGAUACCUACCCAGGCCCCACACCUCCCAGCAUCCUGCCCAGCCGACGUGGGGGUAUUCUGGAUGGUGAAAUGGACCCCAAAGUCUUUCUCUUUCAAGUACCUGCUAUUGAGGAGAACUUGCUAGAUGACAAGCAUUUGCUGAAGCCAUGGGAUGCUAAGAAGCUAUCCUCAUCCUCUUCCCGACCUCGGUCCUGUGAAGUCCCUGGAAUUAACAUCUUUCCAUCUCCUGACCAGCCUGCCAAUGUGCCUGUCCUCCCACCUGCCAUGAACACGGGGGGCUCCCUACCUGACCUCACCAACCUGCACUUUCCCCCACCACUGCCCACCCCCCUGGACCCUGAAGAGACAGCCUACCCUAGCCUGAGUGGGGGCAACAGUACCUCCAAUUUGACCCACACCAUGACUCACCUGGGCAUCAGCGGGGGCAUGGGCCUGGGCCCAGGCUAUGAUGCACCAGGACUUCAUUCACCUGUCAGCCACCCAUCCCUGCAGUCCUCCCUAAGCAAUCCCAACCUCCAGGCUUCCCUGAGCAGUCCUCAGCCCCAGCUUCAGGGCUCCCACAGCCACCCCUCUCUGCCUGCCUCCUCCUUGGGCCGCCAUGCACUGCCCAUCACCUCCCUGGGCCACCCCUCACUCAGUGCUCCAGCUCUCUCCUCCUCUUCUUCCUCCUCCUCCACUUCAUCUCCUGUUUUGGGCGCCCCCCCUUACCCUGCCUCUACCCCUGGGGCCUCCCCGCACCACCGCCGUGUGCCCCUCAGCCCCCUGAGUUUGCUCGCGGGCCCAGCCGACGCCAGAAGGUCCCAACAGCAGCUGCCCAAACAGUUUUCGCCAACAAUGUCACCCACCUUGUCUUCCAUCACUCAGGGCGUCCCCCUGGAUACCAGUAAACUGUCCACUGACCAGCGAUUGCCCUCAUACCCAUACAGCUCCCCAAGUCUGGUUCUGCCUACCCAGCCACACACCCCAAAGUCUCUACAGCAGCCAGGGCUGCCCUCUCAGUCUUGUUCAGUGCAGUCCUCAGGUGGGCAGCCCCCAGGCAGGCAGUCUCAUUAUGGGACACUGUACCCACCUGGGCCCAGUGGGCACGGGCAACAGUCUUACCACCGGCCAAUGAGUGACUUCAACCUGGGGAAUCUUGCUCUUUGAUGACUUCUGCCUUGACCCGUUCUCUUCCUGGCAUGCACAUGCUCUGGCCCAGCAGCUGGAGCAGUUCAGCAUGGAGAGCCCAUCAACCAGCCUGGUGCUGGAUCCCCCUGGCUUUUCUGAAGGGCCUGGAUUUUUAGGGGGUGAGGGGCCAAUGGGUGGCCCCCAGGAUCCCCACACCCUCAACCACCAGAACUUGACCCACUGUUCCCGCCAUGGCUCAGGGCCUAACAUCAUCCUCACAGGGGACUCCUCUUCAGGUUUCUCUAAGGAGAUUGCAGCAGCCCUGGCCGGAGUGCCUGGCUUUGAGGUGUCAGCAGCUGGAUUGGAGCUAGGGCUUGGGCUAGAAGAUGAGCUGCGCAUGGAGCCACUGGGCCUGGAAGGGCUAAACAUGCUGAGUGACCCCUGUGCCCUGCUGCCCGAUCCUGCUGUGGAGGAUUCAUUCCGCAGUGACCGGCUCCAAUGAGGGGACCUCAUCACUAUCCCUCUUCUUGGCCCCAUCCCCCACCACCGUUCCUUUCCUCCCUUCCCCCUGGCAGGUAGAGACUCUACUCUCUGUCCCCAGAUCCUCUUUCUAGCAUGAAUGAAGGAUGCCAAGAAUGAGAAAAAGCAAGGGGUUUGUCCAGGUGGCCCCUGAAUUCUGCACAAGGGAUGGGCCUGGGGGAACUCAAGGGAGGGCCUAAAGCACUUGUAACUUUGAACCGUCUGUCUGGAGGUCAGAGCCUGUUGGAAAGCAGGGGUAGAGGGGAGCCCUGGAGGCAGGGCUUGUCCGGAUGCCUAGGGGUGGGCAGUGCCAGCCCCUCCUCACCACUCUUUCCCUUGCAGUGGAGGAGAGAGCCAGAGUGGAUACUAUUUUUUAUUAAAUAUAUUAUUAUAUGUUAAUAAAAAAAUCUCAUCAAA